CAGCGCAUGCGUCGUUCGUGUUCAAAGAUCUCUAUAAUAUACAAUCAACGCAACUCACUCGACACCUUAUUCAGGAAGAUGGUGGCGCUGAGAGCGUUGCUGCUGGUGCUGCUGCUGGUAAUGGCAGCAGUGACACAUGUGCAGGGCGGCAGGAGAGACUGUGAGGCGGCUGGCGGGAGCUGUGUUCCCGCCAAAACCUGUGACGUCACCCCUUCUGAACAUGGCUGCCAGGAGCAAGAUGCAGUCUGCUGCAUUAAUACUCCAACACAAG